UGCAAGUCACGGGGGCCCGCAAGGGCAACCGGCGAACGGGUGCGUAACACGUGAGCAACCUACCGUUUUCUGGGGGAUAGCCGGCCCAACGGCCGGGUAAUACCGCAUACGUUCGCGAGGGGGAGUCCCCUUGCGAAGAAACCUCCGGGGGAAAACGCGGGGCUCGCGGCCUAUCAGCUAGUUGGUGAGGUAACGGCUCACCAAGGCAUCGACGGGUAGCUGGUCUGAGAGGAUGGCCAGCCACAUUGGGACUGAGAGACGGCCCAGACUCCUACGGGAGGCAGCAGUGGGGAAUCUUGCGCAAUGGCCGCAAGGCUGACGCAGCGACGCCGCGUGGGGGAUGAAGGGUUUCGGCUCGUAAACCCCUGUUGCCCGGGACGAACUUCUGGUUUUGACCAGAUUGACGGUACCGGGUGAGGAAGCACCGGCUAACUCCGUGCCAGCAGCCGCGGUAAUACGGAGGGUGCGAGCGUUGUCCGGAAUCACUGGGCGUAAAGGGCGCGUAGGUGGCGGGUCAAGCGUGCGGUGAAAGCUCGGGGCUCAACCCCGAGUCGGCCGUGCGAACUGGCCUGCUGGAGCACUGUAGAGGCAGAUGGAAUUCCGGGUGUAGCGGUGGAAUGCGUAGAGAUCCGGAAGAACACCGGUGGCGAAGGCGGUCUGCUGGGCAGUUGCUGACACUGAGGCGCGACAGCGUGGGGAGCAAACAGGAUUAGAUACCCUGGUAGUCCACGCCGUAAACGAUGGGCACUAGAUGCUUGGGGGAGCGACCCCUUGAGUGUCGGCGCUAACGCAUUAAGUGCCCCGCCUGGGGAGUACGGCCGCAAGGCUGAACUCAAAGGAAUUGACGGGGGCCCGCACAAGCGGUGGAGCAUGUGGUUUAAUUCGACGCAACGCGAGAACCUUACCUAGGCUUGACAUGUAC
rnacentral:rRNA from 1 species